ACGGAACACUGCUCACAAGGAAGAUGCUCCUUCUCUAAAGCCUGGUUCCCUAACAACAAACAUUCAAAGCAUCUGGGAAAUGCUACAACGCAGAUUCCUGGGCCCCAUCCCAGAUUGAUUCGCUCCAAAUCACUGAGGGGAAAUUCACUUUGAUAUACAAGUGCUUUGGAUUACAAGCAUGUUUCCUUCCAGAACUAAUUAUGCUCACAAACCAAGGUUUUGCAGUAUGUGAAGCCACUCUUAGAUAUUUACAAAAGAGAACUGAAAAUAUAUAUCCUCAAGAAGACUUGUACAUCAAUGUUCAUAACAGCUUUAUUCAUCACCGCCAAGGACAGUAAACGGCCCAUAUAUCCAUCAUCAGACCCAGAACCCCAGCCUAAUCAUGAAAGAAACAUCAGCCAAAUUCCAGGAGAGGGACAUUCCACAGCAUACCUGAUGAGUACUCCUCAAAAUUGUCAAGGUCAUUAAAAACAGAGUAAGUCUGAGAAACUGUCACAGCCCAGAGGAGCCUAAGGAGACAUGAUAACCAAAUUCAAUGUGGGCUCCUAGAUGGAACCCUGGUACAGAAAGAGGACAUUAGUUUAAAACCAAGAA